UUCAACACCAGCCUGGCCAACAUGGUGAAACCCCAUCCCUACUAAAAAUACAAAAUGUAGCCAGGUGUGAUGGUGCAUGCCUGUAAUUCCAGCUACUCAGGAGGCUGAGGUGGGAUAAUCACUUGAACCCAGGAGGUGGAGGUUGCAGUGAACUGAGAUCACGCCACUGCACUCCAGCCUGGAUGACAGAGCAAGACUCUGUCUCAAAAAAAAAAAUAAUGGAAAACUGGAAAGAGAAAAAUUGUUUCAAAAACUAUAGCACACCUGUUGUUAGAUUCUUGUCUUGCCUAAUGUUUUUCAAUUUUAUUAUUUUCUACAGUUUGGACCGAAUUCUAAUUUUUCUUGACUACAAGUCUUCAAAAUAAUGUUUUCAUUUUUUUCUUCUUUUUUCCAUUUUUUUCCAAUUUGGAGUCACUGAAAACUAAGCUGUGCUUUCAUAAAGCCCUGCAAACUGAAUCUAGACAACUUCAGAAGAAAAAUAACAGCAACCUAUUUACAUACAUAAGCCACUUUCAUACCUGCCUACCGAUGUAUGGACUUCAGAGUAAUGUGGCUUAUAGCAAUUUUCCAGGAUUGUUCUUUUGUUUGUUGUUGUUCUCCCUUCCUCCCCCUAUUUUGUCUUUAUGGGACAUGACACUUCACAACCUUCUAAAAAUGAGUUUUCCUAAUAACUCAGGACCUACUCGUCUAGAAAUAAACCAUCCUAGCCAUGAGAGAUAAGAUAAAACAUGAGACAAGAGACUCAUUUUUUUCUAAAAUGCUUUCUCUAAAAGAUUUUUAAAAAGAAAGGGGAGGAAAUGUGAAAGGAAAAUAUCUUGGGCCCCCAAAUCACUCAGCUAAAGGCAAAAGUCAAGCUGGGAACUGCUUGGGGCAAGCUUGCCUCCCAUUCUAAUCAAAGUCACUGCUCUGCUCACUGAGACAAAUGCAUAUCUGAUUGCCUCCUUUAGAGAUGCAUUCAUGAGAAACUCAAAAGAAUGCAUCCAUUUGUCUCUAGUUUACCUGUGACCUGUAAGCCCCUCCCUGCUUCGAGUUGUCCCGCCAUAUUGUUUCACUGAGCCAGACUAAGGCAUACGUGACUAUUCCUCUACCCUCCUCUUGCAUGUAAAUUGUGCCUUCAGUGAAAGGCUAAUCAGAAACUCAAAAGAAUGUAAUUGGUUAUCUCUUAUCUACCUAUGACCUGGAAGUCCACUCCCCUGCUUAGAGUAGUCCCACCUUUCUGGACCAAACCAAUGUACAUCUUACACAUACUGAUUGAUGUCUCAUGUCUCCCUAAAAUGUAUAAAACCAAACUGUGCUCUGACCACCUUGAGCACAUAUUGUCAGGACCUCCUGAGGCUGUGUUGUUACAGGCACGUGUUCUCAACCUGGCAAAAUACACUUUCUAAAUUAACUGAGACCUGUCUCAAAUUUUCUGGGUUCACACUCACUUGGCGAUCCAAGAUUUAUUUUCCUUUCACACUGGUCAGAUGUGCCUGAAUUCCAAAGGGAGGACAGUAUAAUGAAGCAUGUCCAAAC
rnacentral:lncRNA from 1 species